GUGGUUUUGGACAAGGGGGCCAAGGAUUAGGAAAACGAAAACCUUCCAAAUCUGGUUAUGGAGGAGCUGGGUAUGGACCAGCAGGAGGAUUAGGAGGAGGUACAGGAAGUGUUCCUGGGGGAGUUGGAGCUGGACCUGGUGGCUAUGGCCCAGGAGGGUAUGGUCCAACUGGAACUGGAACAGCCCCUUUUGGUUAUGGGCCUGGAGGUGCUGGAACUGGUGGCUUUGGCCCAGGAGGUGCUGGAACUGGGCCAGGGGGUUUUAGACCCGGUGGCGUCGGUGGAUAUGGACCUGGUGGCCAAGCACUAGGAAAAAGGAAGCCUCCUAUAUCAGGUUACGGCUCGUCGUUGGGUGGAACUGGCUAUGGACCAGGUAGUGCAACAGGAGGAACAGGAGGAGCAGGAG